GAUGAACGCUAGCGGGAGGCCUAACACAUGCAAGCCGAGCGGUAUUUGUUCUUCGGAGCAGAGAGAGCGGCGCACGGGUGCGGAACACGUGUGCAACCUGCCUUUAUCUGGGGGAUAGCCUUUCGAAAGGAAGAUUAAUACCCCAUAAUAUAUUGAGUGGCAUCACUUGAUAUUGAAAACUCCGGUGGAUAGAGAUGGGCACGCGCAAGAUUAGAUAGUUGGUGAGGUAACGGCUCACCAAGUCAAUGAUCUUUAGGGGGCCUGAGAGGGUGAUCCCCCACACUGGUACUGCGACACGGACCAGACUCCUACGGGAGGCAGCAGUGAGGAAGAUUGGACAAUGGGGUAGCGCCUGAUCCAGCCAUCCCGCGUGAAGGACGACGGCCCUAUGGGUUGUAAACUUCUUUUGUAUAGGGAUAAACCUACUCUCGUGAGAGUAGCUGAAGGUACUAUACGAAUAAGCACCGGCUAACUCCGUG
rnacentral:rRNA from 1 species